GCCUCGGUGGUGUAGUGAUGGAGCGCGCGUUCGUGGAUAGGAUGAACGCGAGUUCGAUUCCCGCUUGAGGCC